UACGAAGGGGGCUAGCGUUGCUCGGAAUCACUGGGCGUAAAGCGCACGUAGGCGGCUUAGCAAGUCGGAUGUGAAAUCCCUCGGCUCAACCAAGGAAGUGCAUCCGAAACUGCUGAGCUUGAGUACGAAAGAGGAUCGCGGAAUUCCCGGUGUAGAGGUGAAAUUCGUAGAUAUCGGGAGGAACACCAGUGGCGAAGGCGGCGCGCUGGACCUCUUCUGACGCUGAGGCGCGAAAGCCAGGGGAGCGAACGGG
rnacentral:rRNA from 1 species